rfam:Salmo salar isolate Sally breed double haploid chromosome ssa01, whole genome shotgun sequence.
UGGCUCAGUAAGUAGAGCAUGGUGUUUGCAACGCCAGGGUUGUGGGUUCGAUUCCCAC